GGUUGGAGCCAGGGAGCUCUGAGCCCGCCCCUCAGAGGGUCAGGCGGCGACCCGGAAGUAUAAAAGCUCACCCUCAGAGCUCACUGAGGGCCCAGAUGCCGAGGAGGCCAGAUGCCUCAAGCCUAGCCCAUGACUGGGAAGCCCCUGCAGCCUAAGGUGCAUGCCAGGAGUUGCCGGACCUGCCCUGCAGCCGCUACCUGGAGGAGUUGCCGGGCCUGCUGCUUGCCUGCUACCCUGAGGAACCCAUGGUGCUGGACGCCCCAGAAGACACUGCUUGGACCCAGAAAUAAAGAUUCAGCUCCUCCUUCUCCUCUGGCAUAUCCCUCCUUGAGACCCACUUCUGCUGUGAUGCUUUGAGUGAUGUACAUUAUGGGCAAGA